UUUUAAUAUUUAAAAUGAUGUGUUUUAAUAUUUCAUUAUCAUAAAUUGUAUCUUUUAAUAUUUCAUUAUCAUAAAGUAUCUUGGAGGUAACUAAAACUAAAAAAAAAGUGAACUGGGUCCAGAAAUUGAAUUGAUUAUACAAAUAAAUUAGUGAAAAUUAAACCAUAAUAGAGCAAAGUGAAAUUCAAUCUGCUUACUGGGUUCAUCAGCAACUAACAGUAUUCACUGCCGCAGUUUGGAGUAAGAACAAUACACAUUCCUAUGCCAUUGUAUCCAAUUAUUUACUUCAUGAUAAAUAUGCCGUCUUGUUCAUUAUCAAAGAAUUAUUAAGUCGUUAUCAUAAUAUUUGUAAAUUACACUUUUUCACUGAUGGUACUUCAUCACAAUUCAAAAACUCGUAUGUCAUGACAGCCAUGAAUAAUUUGUACAAAUUAUAGUCUGAUCUUCUUGAGAUUCGUUGGUCAUUUUUUGCAACAUCACACGGAAAAAAGGCAGUUGAUGGCAUAGGUGGAGAAAUAAAAAGAAUGGUUCGGACAACAGCAAAAUCUGGAAAACGAUAUUUUUGCAGCUUAGAAGAUUUUGUAAGCAUUGCAAGUGAAAAACAUACCAAAAUUAAUAUCAUCUCUAUUACAAAUGAGUGUAUUACCGCAAACCAAAGUGAAAUUGAUAAGAAGCUUCUUAAAGAUAAAUUUAAAGUCAAGGGAUUCGUCGCCACCACUCUUUUCUUUUUAAUAUCAAUGGUGCUUUCAUGGCAAUUUGUACCCAAUCAGAAAUGGUAAAAAUUGUUAAGAAUUCAUCAUCUUCAUUAUUAAUAAAUGUGGUAUCAUCCCCAUCUGAAAGGUAUAAAUUUAAUACUAUUUCUCUAGGUAUAUUUGUCUUUGCAGAAGUGCGUUUUGCUGGUAGAGCAAAGACAUACUUUAUCAAAGUAUUAGAAAUUAUAGAUGAUAUGGCACAUAUUAAAUUCCUUAAAGAACAAAACGAACUCAUUUUUAUAUACCCAUCUGUAGACGACUUCUCCUAGCAUGACUUGUGUGAGUUAAAACCGUUAGUACCGCAACCAUACUUUGAUAAUCGUGGACAUAUUAUUAACGAGCCAAAGUGUUACAACUAAACUUAUUGUUAAAAAUUUGAUAUUGUAUCUUUCUUAUCUUUAAUAUAUUAUUCACUAUA